rnacentral:rRNA from 1 species
UCCAGAGUUUGAUCAUGGCUCAGAUUGAACGCUGGCGGCAGGCCUAACACAUGCAAGUCGAACGGUAGCACAGAGAGCUUGCUCUCGGGUGACGAGUGGCGGACGGGUGAGUAAUGUCUGGGAAACUGCCUGAUGGAGGGGGAUAACUACUGGAAACGGUAGCUAAUACCGCAUAACGUCGCAAGACCAAAGAGGGGGACCUUCGGGCCUCUUGCCAUCAGAUGUGCCCAGAUGGGAUUAGCUAGUAGGUGGGGUAACGGCUCACCU